AAAUAAUAAACAAUUAUGUAUUUAGUUUCGACCUAAAAUUUGAUAUUAAAUUACCUUAUUUU
rnacentral:tRNA from 1 species